GUGCUUGCUUUGGCAGCACAUAUAGUAAAAUUGGAAUGAUACAGAGAAGAUUAGCAUGGCCCCUGUGCAAGGAUGACAUGCAAAUUCCUGACGCAUUCCAUAUUUUU
rnacentral:snRNA from 1 species